AGGGGUUUUUAGUCAUUUAGUCUAAGAUAAGUGCCAAGUGUUACUGGGUUGUAUUACCCGCCCCUCCCUCCGGUAGGCGUGGCUUUUAGAUUAUGACGUGAGGCCAUCCAUAGGUGCGCUCUGCGCUGUUUGUCUGCAGCUUGAUUGGAUGGUUCAGGCAUUUUGCUCCGCAAUAUUUGCAUCAAGAAAAUGUGGACUUCCCCUAAAAUUGAAGAGCAGAGGAGAACAUUUCCUGAUUAAACCGAAAGCAGGUGUGACACUGCGUACAGCUGUGAACAGAUAUCACUGUCCGUUUCCAGGAACAACCUAAAAGAAAAGCAAUGGAAUCUUUUCCAGACUGCUGUCCACAUCUUAGUAUGCCUGUAGAGACAGAUGAAUCUAUGACAUCAUCAUCUCUCAAUCUGGCUUGGCCUGCAUGCCAGCAGUGUGAAUCACAGAACCUUACGGAGGCUGGCAGAAGUGGAGUGCCUCGUCCAGAGAUGUGUGUUCAUGAUGCAAGUAGAGUGCAUUACCUAGAUCGUGGCUAUGGGCUUCAACCUGAAGAUUUAAGGGUCAGUACGUUCAGAAAACAGUCCAUAAGUGAUUCACAUCCACCAGAAAGUCCUGCAGGCCUGCCCAGUUUCUACUUGCCUCAAAGUCCAAGACAGCACCUUCAGAUAGACCGUAGAUCCCAUAUAGAAGACCUGAGUGAACAUUUUUCAAGAGUCAACCUUCACCGUCACUGCAAUUCCACUGUGUUGUAUUCACACACCCAAAAGUCUGUGACUGAGGAUGAGGAAAGUAUUGAAAAGCCGCGUCCUCUCCGUACUGACCAGGGGGACGAUUUCUGCAGGUUUCCUUCAUCAAAAAAGGCCGGAUUUUACGGUGAGUGCCCACCAGAACGGGUUUUAUAUCACUGGCAUGGACAAUCUGCACAUUACCCACAGCCCAACUAUCCGCUGCAUCAGCCCCUACCUGGGUAUUAUGUUCAGAAUAGGCACAUAUCUAGAGAACCAGCCAUUGCGAACCCCCCUCAAGGUACAUCCGGUCAGAGCACAGCACCUAUGAGAGAGCUCAUGUCAGAAGUUUGUGUCCAGCCAUCCCAAGCAUCUGCUGUUGGCCACCCUCAAACACUAAGGCGUAACAUCAGUCUUCCUGACAUCUGCAGAGACCUAUUCAUUACAUACUCUAUGGACAUUGCAACAGAGCUGAUGCCCUUCGUGAGCUUUUUGAUCAAUCAAGGAUUCAGACCAGCUGUAAGACUUCCUACCUUUUGCUGAUUUCAAAUGUCAAUUUAGUAAACAUUCACAAAUUGUCACAUGUAUACUAAAUAAAUUAAACAAUAUAUCUUCCUGUUUUUUUUUCUUUGUUUUUAGAUCGAUAUAUUUGAAGACCGAGUUAGACAAAUGGACAUCAACAAAUGGAUGGACAGUUUCUUAAAAAAUGUAUUUAUUUAUGUAUUCAUUCAUUCAUUUUCUUUUCAGCUUAACCCCUUUAUUUAUUACACGUCGCCACAGAGGAGUAAACUACUUACUAUUCUGGCAUAUGAAUCAAUUAAUUGAUUAACAAAUUAAUUAAUUAACUGAAUGAUUGAGUUAAGGUUGAACUUAGGAUCUAGGACAGGGGUGUCAAACUCAAUUCCUGGAGGGCCGAAGCCCUGCACAGUUUAGUUCCAACCCUGCUCCAACACACUUAAGGCUGAUUUAUACUUCUGCGUCAAACACCGGCGUAUGCUACGGCGCUGACGCAUAGCCCUUCGCCGUGGCCAUCGCCGUCGCUGACCUGCACCUCUCAAAAAAUACAUACAUACAUACAUACAUACAUACAUACAUACAUACAUAUAUAUAUAUUAAGGGUGUCACGAUCCUCCAAAUCCUCGAUUCGAUUACAUUUUCGAUUCUAAAGGCUCGAUUCGAUUUUAAUUUCGAUUAUGAAUAAUUAAUUAAUUAAUGACCAAUUAAUUAUUUGUAGCCUACCGUUUAAACUACCUGACCUGCAUGGUCUUUGUUUUACCCAUAAACGAAUCAUACAGUAAAUGAAUAAAGGCAAGAUACACACAUAAUUACCACCUGUCAAUCACUUUUUCUGCGGGACUCGUGAAUAGGCAGUGAUCUGUGUCGUUAUAAUGGCGUCGGUAAAAAAGACGCACAACCAACAGGAACCAGCCAACAGUAUCUGAGGUGUUCGCUAAAAUGACUAAGUACAAGUGAGUGAAAGAUUGAAGCAGUCCUCUGACUGCCUGGACCUGCUGUCUCGAGCGCAUGGCUGUGUGUGCGUCUGUGUCUGUGUGGUCACGUGAUGUGCAUUUUCAGAGGUAGAGAGGAAGGAGGGCUGCUCAGAAAUGCUACACGCCACUGUGGAUGUCAAAUCGCUGUCGUUCUAAAAUGCCGUUUAAAAACAAAGACAGUGUAAACAGGGCCUGAGUGUGAACUUUUCGCGAGCGGAUUUGCAACGGGGGCGGGCGGAGGAUCGCGAUGCUGGUGUUGUCUAUCGGACGAACCGUACGUAAUACGUACAUAGCAGAGCUUGCAAAACUGUGUUUUUUUGUCGACAACACGAACGUUGUCAACAUAACUCACUGGAAAUCCAAAAUGCUUCCACACCGGCGACUUCAUUGAAAGAGGAGAGGGUUUAAGCUCUGUCGACGGGUCUCCUGCAUCUGCAGUUUAACAAGCACUUCAACAAGCCUGUUUUUUUCCCGCUUGGAAAGCCAAGCUGAUGUGACAUGGGGGCGUGGCAGCAUCGACGAUUCUAUUUUUUUAUUCGAUAAUCGAAAUUGAGCAUAAAUUUCGAUCGAUUUCGAUUAAAAAUCGAAAUCAUGACAGCCC
rnacentral:lncRNA from 1 species